CCUACGGGCGGCAGCAGUGGGGAAUAUUGGGCAAUGGGCGCAAGCCUGACCCAGCAACGCCGCGUGAAGGAAGAAGGCUUUCGGGUUGUAAACUUCUUUUAAGGGGGAAGAGCAGAAGACGGUACCCCUUGAAUAAGCCACGGCUAACUACGUGCCAGCAGCCGCGGUAAUACGUAGGUGGCAAGCGUUGUCCGGAUUUACUGGGGGUAAAGGGCGUGCAGCCGGAGAGACAAGUCAGAUGUGAAAUCCACGGGCUCAACCCGUGAACUGCCUUUGAAACUGUUUCCCUGGAGUGUCGGAGAGGUAAUCGGAAUUCCUGGUGUAGCGGUGAAAUGCGUAGAGAUUAGGAAGAACACCAGUGGCGAAGGCGAUUCUCUGGACUGUAACUGACGCUGAGGCUCGAAAGCGUGGGGAGCAAACAGGAUUAGAUACCCGAGUAGUC
rnacentral:rRNA from 1 species